rnacentral:rRNA from 1 species
GAUGAACGCUGGCGGCGUGCCUAACACAUGCAAGUCGAACGGAAAGGCCCUGCUUUUGCGUGGUGUUCGAGUGGCGAACGGGUGUGUAACACGUGAGUAUCCCGCCCUUGACUGUGGGAUAACUUCAGGAAACUGCGGCUAAUACCGGAUAGGAGCUCCUGAUGCAUGGUGGGCGUCGGAAAGUUUCGGCGGUGGGGGAUGGACUCGGGGCUUAUCAGCUUGUUGGUGGGGUAGUUGCCUACCCAGGGUUCGACGGAUAGCCGGCCUGGGAGAGUGGCCAGCCACCUUAGGACUACGGUACGGCGCAGGCUGGAACGGGAGGCAGCGGGGGGGAGUAUUGCACAGUAAGGGGGAGCGUGUGACGAAAGCGCCGGGUGCGGAAAGACGGCCUUCGGGUUGUGAACCGCUUUCGCCUGUGACGAAGCGUGAGUGACGGUAAUGGGUAAAGAAGCACCGGCUAACUACGUG